rnacentral:lncRNA from 1 species
GCACUUACUCUUGACUUUGUCUUUUGUUGCUGAUUUGUUUCCCAUUUAAUAAUAAUAGCCUAGCAGUCAGUACUUUUGCAGGAACAUGUUGAACUUAUAACCUUUCAAAACUUUAUUGUGAUGAUUCUCUACUGUUCAUGUUGUUGUUAUGCUCUCUCUCUCACACACACAUUUUUCCUCUUUGCAUCCAUUCUGUGUGUGUGUUUUUUUUGUGCCUCUAUUUGUUACUCUUUCAGUGUUUUUGUCUAUUUUAAAAAUGUGUUUUAUUUAAUAAGGUAGUCUGAGGAGGUGAAGCAGUGCCUCUGACCUUUUACAAAAAGCCCUCUGUGACUAGAGAUUGAUGUGGUUUACCAUUCUGCUGGAACAUGUGUAGCUACACAGGAAAAAAAAAUGAUAAGGUAAAGGUGGGGUAGGGGGUUGGGAAUGAAUUCCAGCAGGUUGUAGUCCUAAAGAGGAAAGCAUGGGGAGAAGGGAAAGAGUUUCACUUGUUAUUUGGUGAGUGAAACACAACAGGGGGUGACAGGAAGAAGAUGAGGACCAGGAGAGAUGAGUGGUGAAGGUAAACAGCUAACUAGCUCAAGCAGAUGAGCAGAAGCUAUCGUAGUAGCAUUAUAAGAGGCAUUUAGAGGAAAUAGUGCACCAGAAAGCCUGUAAGUUUAUUGCUGAGUGAACUCUUUGCCAAGUGAUAGGACAGCCUUUUGGUUUUAGUCUAAGAUUUUGUGUGUUUGUAACAGAAGCAUUGCCACCAUCCUCUAUUACUUCUUGUCUCUCUUUGCAUCUUUCUCUUCACAUCCCUCUGUCUCUCUCUUUCUCUCCCCCUUUAUAUUCUAUCUAUAUAUUUCUCUCUUUAUAUGUAACUCUCAUUCAUCAUGUACUGUAUUUGGUUGGAAGUACUGUUCCACAUUGCAAAACCCUUUCACCCAACUAUCUCGCUCACAAUCUUGCUCUUCAUAAAAACAGGAAAUUGCUCUCUGGUAAAUUGGAAGAAAUUGUAGAUCAUUAGGUUAAAUACAUUGCAGUAUUUAGUUUUGUCUCUGCCUUCUAAGUUCAAAUCUAUCAGGAAGGUGGAGGCAGUAAAAUAAAUACCAGUCAUAUAUUAAGGGUUAAAUCAAUUGACUGAAUACUUCCUGUUCUACACAAUUUUUGUUAGCCUUGUGCUAAUGUGAGAAAUCAUAAUUAUCAUGAUAACCAUCAUUAUUAUUGGAAUAGUGAAUUAGAGCUUUACAUAAAAUGCCUUGUAUUUUUUUUUAAUCUUUGCUUUCUGAUUUCAAAUCCUGCUGAGUUCAUCUUGGCUUUUCAUUUCUCUGUGGUUGGUAGAACAAAAUACCAAUCAAGUACUGGGAUCACUAGUAUUGAUUGAUCCUCUACCUUCAAAAUUCCUGACAUUGUACCUGAAUUGGCAACCAUUAUUAUUCAUCAGCAGGGCUUGUUCAAGAUGUACACAUAGUUAAGAAACUGUUCUGCAUACACUUGUGGAAGUAUGUCGAACACCUGCUGUUGCAUGUAGCAUGGAUCCACCUAUCAGCAAAGUCUGUUGUAAAGAGUCUUUUGGGUGGGGAAGUCAGGCAGGCUUUAUCUGUCUAGUCACAGUGGUUCUCAACAAGAAUCUAUGAGUUUGUUGUUAAAAUUUAUAUUCUAUAAAUUGGUUUAUACUUCUACAAUACACAAAAUAUUUUUUUUAUACAAUUCCUUAUAAUAUUUAAUUAUAAAAAUAUAAUAGGAUUUUUUAAGCCUCAAAUGGCUAUGGGGGUGGGGUAGCUUUUGAGUAAAAUAGGAAUCAAAGGGGUCCAUAAGCAAUAAACGGUUGAGAACCACUGGUCUAGUGGCUUUGCCAAAAAUGGUUGUGUGGUGAAUGAGACUAAAAGGGCCGAAGACUGAUACUAUCCUCUUUGGCCAAACUUUCAACUUUUUCAAGUUGUACUUGAAAAGAAAAAUCUAGCAAAUGUGUUGAAAGGUAAAUGAGAAUAAUGAGUAUGACCCUAUUGAAUGAACCUGCUCUGAGCAUACACCUGUAUUGGGGGGCACUUAACUGUGAUGUUCAGAUGACUGAGGUUUUGUGGGUUUCCAUAAGUAACCCUUGAAAGCCUCAUUACUUUUCAAGAAUUAUUCAUUGUUUGAAUUUUUUCUUUCUAUUAUUUUCCUUUUUUUCACACCUUUUAUGUAACCCAUUAUGUCUUGUACUGUUCUCAAUGUUUCUUUAAAUCCUUGAGGGGUAAUAAAGAAAGCAUUAUUAUUCUUAGGGCAGCAGAUUAAGGUGGUAGAGUCGUUAGCAUGUUGGGCAAAAUGCUUAGCAACAUUUCAUGUCUUUGCUUUCUCAGUUCAAAUUCUCAGUUCAAUGUGAUGAACUUAGCCCCUCCUUCAAAAUUGCUGGCCUCGUGCCAAAAUCUGAAGUCAAUAUUAGGGCAGCAAAUUGGCAGAAUCAUUAGAGCUUUGAACAAAACACUUUGUAAUGUUUAGUUGUAGUGCUUUGUAUUUGGAAUUCAAAUCUUGCCAAUAUCAAUCUUGCUUUUAAUCCUUUCAGGGUCACUUGAAUAAAAUACUAGUCACGUACUGCAAGAUGUGGCAAUGGUAUCAACUAGUCACUCCCUCCUCUCUAAACAGUUAGCCUUUUACCUAAAUUAGAAACAGAUGUAUCCAACCCAUGUUGGCUAGAAGAGCAAAUGUGAGAAUGAUGAUCAUGUCUAUUAUGUUUUUAGUUCAAAUCCCAUCAAGGCUGGGGUCAUGAAAAUAAGUUGGCAAGAAAGUAGUGGAGUCAGUUAAAUUGAUUAUAUUCUUCCUUUCUGUUGCAAAGUUAGAGACAAUUUUUAUUGACUCACAUUCUUCUAUGUCUUGUGGUUUUGUUAAAAAAAAAAUCAAUAUUGUCAUUAUGAAUUAAAUCUGAGAUGGAGAAUAGAAAGACUCUCUGACAUUACAUAUGUGGUUGCAUGACAACCAAUAGCUGUAGGUUUCUCCUGGAAGCAUGUAUCUAUGUCUUGGGCAACCACAAACAAUAGAUGCAUACUUGCUUCUGGCUGGAGGAUAUAUAUAUAUCUACUUUGAAUCAGCAGAGUGGCAGAGUUGAUUGUGUUUUCACCAGCUCUUGCCUCAGUAUUUAUUAUAGCCCCUGAGAAUGCAUCACAGUCAAUCAAUUCUUGCCUUAACUAAGAAUGUAACAGAAUGUAGAGAAAUAUCUAAACUUUAUUUCUCAGCUUUAACUCUGCCCACUGACAUUUGUCAAAGAAUUAAUACUUCUUAAAGCUGGUUCUCCAGUUUCUGCUUCAUUUUAAAUACUAUAAAUAAGAUGAAGCCAAAUAGAAAGAUGAACACCUACAGCCAUAGCUCAUCAGAAUAUGAAAAAUUAAUCGGUUAACAGCAUGAAAACCAAGCUGAAAUUUACCAGGAACCAAGCAGAAGCAAUGUUAGAUGCACAAAAGUUUGGUGAUACAUUUAUUUUACACAUCACUUUUUGAUUAUCACAUAGAACUAAUGUUCAAAAUAACACGUGUGUAAUACCACAUACGUAAACAUGAAGCUCUCCUUUAAAGGUGAUGUUUAUAGUAGUGAUUGUAAUGGCUAUUAUAAUGGUAAUAACAAUGAUAAAUAAUAAGCAGUGUCAUCAUUAGUUUCUCUUAGUGACCAAGCAAGCGCUGUCAGAUGUCACAUACAUUUUCCAUAUUUUUUUUUUAAAAUUCUCUUUUGCUACCCUCAAAUUUUCCAAAAAACCCGAAAUGGCUAGUUUAACCCCUUAAUAGAUUAUCCCAAGUUUACUUGUGCAUUGCAAAUGUAUCUUUUUAGAACCAGACAAGUAUACUUGGUCAAAGUUAACUUUUAAUUUUAGCACUCAAAUGAGUUUAUUUGUUUUGUAUUGUUGCAUUUUUGAGCAAUCACAAAUUUACUUGCAUUGUUGUACGCUUAGCAGCACAUAUUCUGGUGCCAUUUCAAAGAAUUUAUGCUUCUGAGUUUUGAACUUUUACUUCAGUGCUUACUCAGAUUCAGGAGGAGGUUGAUGUCAUUUUAGAACCGUCUCGUUUUGAUUCUCUUUUAUUUAUACAAAUAAGAGAAUUAUUUACACAUUUUUUUUUCUCAAAAUGGAUGAAGAUUUAGAUAUAUUCAGUGAUCACGAAAGCAAUUUUUCAUUUCAUGAUCUGGAAAGCUCUGGGGAUGAAUUAGACAUGUGUAGUUCAGACUCUGACAAUUUUUCAGAAGAUGACGAAGAUAAUCAGAUACAUGCAUAUGCAUGCCAUGAAAUCAUUUGCUUGUCUGAUUCUCCUCUUCCACUUCCACCAAGUGUUAAGAAAAAGAACCCUACAAGACAGUGUGAAAAAUGCGCAGAGAAGAGAGACAUUAAAGGAAAGCAGAUUCAAAGAGAAAGUAGAUACGUGUGAUGUCUGCAAGAUAACUUUGUGUGUAACUCCUUGUUUUAAAAAUUAUCAUUCUAAAUAAACUAUCUCAUUUAAAAAAAAUUUUCCUUUGAUUUAAAAGCAAUACAUCUUGUAAAAAAUUGAAGAUAGUUAAGUUAUAUGUAUUUUUUCAAUAUCUGAUUUAACUCGUUUAAAUCCAAAUGAGUAAAAGUACAUUUUAAUUUCUAUAAUAAAAAAUAAAGGAAACAAGAUAAAAAAAACUUUUUUUUGUAAUUAACACAGUGUAUAUAAUUAAGAAAGAAAAUUUAAAAAAUAUGCUCUGAAAUGAAACACCAUGUCAAAAUAAUUGAUCCAUUAAGGGUUUAAACCCUGAGGAGAGAGCAGCAGUCACAAAUGUUAACCUGACUGUCUGCCAUCCAUCCAUCCUCCCUCCCUACAUUGACCCCAGUGUUCAACUGGUAUUUAUUUUAUCGACUCCCAAAAGGAUGAAAGGUAAAGUUGACCUCGGUGGAAUUUGGACUGAGAACAUAAAGAGGGAUGAAAUGCUGCUAAGUAUUUUGUGUGGUGUGCUAACGAUUCUGCUAGCUUGCUGUCUUAAUAAUAAAAUAAUGAUAAUAAUGAUAAUCCUUUAUAUUAAAGGCACAAGGCCUGAAGUUUUGGCGAG